UACGUAGGGUGCAAGCGUUGUCCGGAAUUAUUGGGCGUAAAGAGCUCGUAGGCGGUCUGUUGCGUAGGGCGUGAAAUGCCAGGGCUCAACCCCGGGACUGCGUCCGAUACUUCCGAGCUGGAGGUAGGUAGGGGAGAUCGGAAUUCCUGGUGUAGCGGUGAAAUGCGCAGAUAUCAGGAGGAACACCGGUGGCGAAGGCGGAUCUCUGGGCCGUACCUGACGCUGAGGCGCGAAAGCUAGGGGAGCGAACAGG
rnacentral:rRNA from 1 species